rnacentral:rRNA from 1 species
GACGAACGCUGGCGGCGUGCCUAAUACAUGCAAGUCGAACGCAGUGGGGACGGGUGAGUAACACGUGGGUAACCUCCCAUCAGAGGGGAUAACACUUGGAAACAGGUGCUAAACCGAUACUGAUGGAUGGACCCGCGGUGCAUUAGCUAGUUGGUGAGGUAACGGCUCAUCAAGGCCACGAUGCAUAGCCGGGCUGCGAGGGUGAUCGGCCACACUGGGACUGCGACACGGCCCAGACUCCGACGGGAGGCAGCAGUAGGGAAUAUUGGGCAAUGGACGAAAGUCUGACCGAGCAACGCCGCGUGAGUGAAGAAGGUUUUCGGGUCGUAAAGCACUGUUGGUAGAGAAGCGGUAUCUAACCAGAAAGCCACGGCUAACUACGUGCCAGCCGCCGCGGUAAUUC